rnacentral:rRNA from 1 species
UCCCUAGUAACUGCGAGUGAAGCGGGAAAAGCUCAAAUUUAAAAUCUGGUGGUCUUUGGCCAUCCGAGUUGUAAUUUAGAGAAGCGUUUUCCGCGCUGGACCGUGCACAAGUCUCCUGGAAUGGAGCGUCAUAGAGGGUGAGAAUCCCGUCUUUGGCACGGACAUGCCAGGGCUUUUGUGAUGCGCUCUCGAAGAGUCGAGUUGUUUGGGAAUGCAGCUCAAAAUGGGUGGUGAACUCCAUCUAAAGCUAAAUAUUGGCGAGAGACCGAUAGCGAACAAGUACCGUGAGGGAAAGAUGAAAAGCACUUUGGAAAGAGAGUGAAACAGUACGUGAAAUUGUUGAAAGGGAAACGCUUGAAGUCAGUCACGUCGACCGAGACUCAGCCUCGCCUCGGCUUGGUGUACUUCUCGGCUGACGGGUCAGCAUCAAUUUUGCCCCUUGGAUAAUGGUGAGGGAAAUGUGACACCUUUACGGUGUGUUAUAGUCUCUUGUCGCAUGCAAGGGUCGGGAUUGAGGAACUCAGCACGCGCCUUUGGGUGUCGGGGCCUUUUGCCCACGAUACGUGCUUAGGAUGUUGGCAUAAUGGCUUUAAACGACCCGUCUUGAAAACACG